rnacentral:rRNA from 1 species
CCUACGGGUGGCUGCAGUGGGGAAUCUUGGGCAAUGGGCGCAAGCCUGACCCAGCAACGCCGCGUGAAGGAAGAAGGCCCUCGGGUUGUAAACUUCUUUUGUCAGGGACGAAACAAAUGACGGUACCUGACGAAUAAGCCACGGCUAACUACGUGCCAGCAGCCGCGGUAAUACGUAGGUGGCAAGCGUUAUCUGGAUUUACUGGGUGUAAAGGGCGUGUAGGCGGGUGAGUAAGGCAGAUGUGAAAUUCCAGGGCUCAACCCGGGAACUGCAUGGGAAACUGUUUUUCUUGAGUGAUGAAGAGGCAGGCGGAAUUCCGUGUGUAGCGGUGAAAUGCGUAGAUAUACGGAGGAACACCAGUGGCGAAGGCGGCCUUCUGGACAGUAACUGACGCUGAGGCGCGAAAGCGUGGGUAGCAAACAGGAUUAGAUACCCCAGUAGUC